rnacentral:rRNA from 1 species
GACGAACGCUGGCGGCGUGCCUAAUACAUGCAAGUCGAGCGAAUCUUUAAAAGCUUGCUUUUAUUGAUUAGCGGCGGACGGGUGAGUAACACGUGGGCAACCUGCCUGUAAGACUGGGAUAACUUCGGGAAACCGGAGCUAAUACCGGAUAAUCUGUUCCCUCGCAUGAGGGAAUGCUGAAAGACGGCGCAAGCUGUCACUUACAGAUGGGCCCGCGGCGCAUUAGCUAGUUGGUGAGGUAACGGCUCACCAAGGCGACGAUGCGUAGCCGACCUGAGAGGGUGAUCGGCCACACUGGGACUGAGACACGGCCCAGACUCCUACGGGAGGCAGCAGUAGGGAAUCUUCCGCAAUGGACGAAAGUCUGACGGAGCAACGCCGCGUGAGCGAAGAAGGCCUUCGGGUCGUAAAGCUCUGUUGUUAGGGAAGAACAAGUAUCGGAGUAACUGCCGGUACCUUGACGGUACCUAACCAGAAAGCCACGGCUAACUACGUGCCAGCAGCCGCGGUAAUACGUAGGUGGCAAGCGUUGUCCGGAAUUAUUGGGCGUAAAGCGCGCGCAGGCGGUUCCUUAAGUCUGAUGUGAAAGCCCCCGGCUCAACCGGGGAGGGUCAUUGGAAACUGGGGAACUUGAGUGCAGAAGAGAAGAGCGGAAUUCCACGUGUAGCGGUGAAAUGCGUAGAGAUGUGGAGGAACACCAGUGGCGAAGGCGGCUCUUUGGUCUGUAACUGACGCUGAGGCGCGAAAGCGUGGGGAGCGAACAGGAUUAGAUACCCUGGUAGUCCACGCCGUAAACGAUGAGUGCUAAGUGUUAGAGGGUUUCCGCCCUUUAGUGCUGCAGCAAACGCAUUAAGCACUCCGCCUGGGGAGUACGGCCGCAAGGCUGAAACUCAAAGGAAUUGACGGGGGCCCGCACAAGCGGUGGAGCAUGUGGUUUAAUUCGAAGCAACGCGAAGAACCUUACCAGGUCUUGACAUCCUCUGACACUCCUAGAGAUAGGACUUUCCCCUUCGGGGGACAGAGUGACAGGUGGUGCAUGGUUGUCGUCAGCUCGUGUCGUGAGAUGUUGGGUUAAGUCCCGCAACGAGCGCAACCCUUGAUCUUAGUUGCCAGCAUUUAGUUGGGCACUCUAAGGUGACUGCCGGUGACAAACCGGAGGAAGGUGGGGAUGACGUCAAAUCAUCAUGCCCCUUAUGACCUGGGCUACACACGUGCUACAAUGGAUGGUACAAAGGGUCGCAAAACCGCGAGGUCGAGCCAAUCCCAUAAAACCAUUCUCAGUUCGGAUUGCAGGCUGCAACUCGCCUGCAUGAAGCCGGAAUCGCUAGUAAUCGCGGAUCAGCAUGCCGCGGUGAAUACGUUCCCGGGCCU